UCAAUAAAUUAGUCUCAUUUGAUUCUCCCCUUUUCGAAGGCAUUUAAUAAUUACAAAUUAUGUAUAUUACAAUACCCACAAAUGAAUAUGAAAAGGUUUCCUUCCGAACCAUUUCCAAGCCGUGCGAAUUAUAAAAAAGGCGUCCCACGGCGGAGAUUUUCAUCUUUCUCAAACGGCAGUACCCAAUGAAAAGCGGAUCGAAAUUUUACGGAUGACGUUUAGGUAAAAAAUUUUAUUGGCAAACGUGUAUCUUGUUACUUAGUUAUUCAAACAUGGAUGCUUCGAGUUUCUGUUAUAUUUAUUACAAUCGUUAGAACCAGAUUUAAGAUG